UGCUUGGGAAUAUGCCAUAUGGUGGGGGACAACAGUUGGAAACGACUGCUAAUACCGCAUAAUGUCUACGGACCAAAGGAGGGGAUCUUCGGACCUUUCGCCAUUUGAUUAGCCCAAGUGAGAUUAGCUAGUUGGUAAGGUAAUGGCUUACCAAGGCGACGAUCUCUAGCUGGUUUGAGAGGAUGAUCAGCCACACUGGGACUGAGACACGGCCCAGACUCCUACGGGAGGCAGCAGUGGGGAAUAUUGCACAAUGGGGGAAACCCUGAUGCAGCCAUGCCGCGUGUGUGAAGAAGGCCU
rnacentral:rRNA from 1 species